rnacentral:rRNA from 1 species
UACGUAGGGGGCAAGCGUUGUCCGGAUUUAUUGGGCGUAAAGAGCGUGUAGGCGGUUUGGUAGGUCCGCUGUGAAAACUCGAGGCUCAACCUCGAGACGCCGGUGGAAACCAUCAGGCUAGAGUCCGGAAGAGGAGAGUGGAAUUCCUGGUGUAGCGGUGAAAUGCGCAGAUAUCAGGAGGAACACCGGUGGCGAAGGCGGUUCUCUGGGCAUUACCUGACGCUGAGGAGCGAAAGUGUGGGGAGCGAACAGG